AUAACGUAGUUAUCUCCAUUUCUCCAAUAGGCUGCUUGCAACUGCCUGGUGGGGGAAUCAUUGGUCGUGAAGGUUUCAGAUUUUGGGGUGGCCAGGAGUGUUCAUGUGGGAGGUGUUCAGCAAGAGCAAAAUUCCAUUUGAAGAUUUUUUCAACUCCGAGGCUGUGGAUAAAAUCUCAGCUGGACUGAGGCUCUUCAAACUCAAGAUGUCUCCCGAAAGAGUGUACAUGCUGAUAAACAACUGCUGACAACAAGCUGGGCAGUCAGAAUGGGGGGGACGAAUGCAUCUGCUGCUGCCCGCACCUCCGCUUCCCCCCAGCGAGGACCCCCAACCUGGAUCUUCAUGUGAAAACUUCCUGCGGAGCCUCCAGCUGGUCCCACGUUGCAGAGGAAGGAUCUGCUAGCUGCACCCCUCCCCCCCAGGGUAGUGUUCACGCACAAAACACACACAUUUUUCAAAUUAUUACACACUUACAUUUACACUUACACACACUCACAUACAUUUUAGUAAGGC